AGGAAUAUACUUUCAGGGAUCAUUUCUACAGUUCAUUACUAGAGAAGUUUCCCUGAUUCUGUAGAGCACCCAAAAGCAUGAGAGGAACCAGAGGAUUGUCUCCUGAGCACGGAACCUGUUCUAGGUGCUGCUUUUUCAGCUGCCUUUUACCAUUGAUGAUCAUUCUUCUCUUCCCUAGGAGAGGGAGAGGAUGAAGUCUGAGUGGU